UACGUAGGCAGCAAGCGUUGUUCGGAAUUACUGGGCGUAAAGAGUGUGUAGGCGGUUCUCUAAGUUCGGUGUGAAAUCUCCCGGCUUAACUGGGAGGGUGCAUCGGAAACUGGAGGGCUGGAGUAUGGGAGAGGAAAGCGGAAUUCCUGGUGUAGCGGUGAAAUGCGUAGAUAUCAGGAGGAACACCUGCGGUGUAGACAGCUUUCUGGACCAUCACUGACGCUGAGACACGAAAGCGUGGGUAGCAAACAGG
rnacentral:rRNA from 1 species